UUGUGUCCUUCCAGACCUACCUGAAUACCUGCCCUGACUGCCUCCUUGUCCAACAAAAGUUGUCAUUGGUUAGCAACUACAGCACUCUGUAUAUCUUCAGUAAGAGAAAGGAGCUGACCUCUGCUGAACUGGAAGUGUUUAAGAAACAGGUGGACUGUCUCAAUUUGCCACCAGCUGUGUUCACAAACCCACAGAAAGAUUCCUGUCCAGAUCCGACACAGGACAACAGCAAAACUCUGGACCUGUCGAAAGUGAUCGAAUUGCUGGGUGACAAGAUUGAUCUUCAGAAGACUUUAGAAGAGAUGAUAAGUAAAUUACAACUAGAGAGUAAUAAAGCCGAUUAAUUGUCAAAAUGUCAA